rnacentral:lncRNA from 1 species
GUAUUUUCAACAAGGGAAAUUAAUUUCCAAGAUUUUAAAUGUUAACAUCAUGUUAAUAACACGUAUUUAAUUAAGGGGGUUUAAUAAAUCUUUUCUUCCAUGGUACAUAAAAUUUAACACGCAUGCAUAUUAUGGUUGUGACUGUCGCCACCCAGGACAGGGUGUGACCGCGUCCCGCGUUUGAAAUAGAAUAACCGAUGAAAAUUGUUACAAUAAAAAUUUAAAUGUUCCGACAGAGAGUGAAAAAGUACAAAAAUGUUCCACUAUUACAAAACAGAAUGAAGUACAAUAAAGAAAUCAUUGUAUUGUAUAUAAAACUUCAUUGUUCUCACAUGCAUACAAUUUCAGAACACCAGUGGCAGUGAGAUAAUAAUUAAAUAAAAAUAUAAAAUCAAAGCAGAUUCAAAUAUACAUCGUCCUGGCUGUGUUGAUACGGCAAGUUAUAACCUUUCCAUGUCUUGACUUGUAUACAACGUUAACAUUUCACGCAACCAUGGUUGGUGGGAUCCAGCUUAUUGGCAAGCGUAUCUCCAAAAUCGGUUUAAAAUUGUCCCAUUUUCAAACGAGACUUGCUUGAAACGUUAGAUAGCAACCAGGGCGAAUGUUUUACCAUCAGAGAGUUUGUUUGCCACCCUCACAUGCUCUGUAUAUAUUUGAUCACGUGAUUUGAUCACUGACAAUGAACAUGAACAUGUACUCAACAUGUACACGAACCUUUUACGGAACAUGUACGCAUGAACAUGAACUGAACAUGUACGCGUACCUUUGCACAAGGAUUACCAUUUAUCUUCACUAGUCCUCAUUAGUCACCAUACGUAUCUUCAAACAUCGUUCUUACUUUGACUAGUCCUCAUUAGUCAUCAUACGUAUCUUCAAACAUCGCUCUUAUUUUGACACAAAACUGAUGCAAAGGAAAUCCCAUGACAUUGAAGUAAUCUCCAGAUAUGCUUUUCACAAAUGAUCCGCCAAGGCCCGUUGACUGUAUUCCAUAGAUGAAAAUAGUUAAAGAAACU